UGUUCCCUCACGGAAGUGCUGCGCUCCGCCAAGCCCUUGGAGGCUGGCGGGCGCCAGGGCCCCCGCCGCAUGUGUGCAGCCACGUGACCCUUCCAUCAGCGGCCUGGACGCCAGGCGGAGGUGGAGCCUGGCCGCAAGUUUGGACGCCGAAGGGCCGUGUGGCACGGCCCCGCAUGCGCGGCCCAUCGGCUGCUUCUCCUGCUGCCGUCAAGUUAGAGGCCCCCAGCUGCCCCAGGAGAAACGUGCCCUCCACCUCCUGUCUGGGCUCCUCUCGCUCCUGGUCCCCAAGGCCUCUCUGGCCUCCCACGUGCGACUUGGCCGUGUGAACUCAGAGGGGAGACCAAGCUGGAAAUAAAGGACCUGUUAUUUCAUGGAGCAGAGACAAGCAACACCUUGGAGGCCUCCCCGUGGUCUGAGCUUCUGAUGAACGGGCCUCUACGUACCCCGUGCCUUGACCUGCGGUCUCCUGCCUGCAGGAAGGAUGGGCUGGCUUCCACGCACCCCCAGCACCUGUGCCGAAGUCAGGCCCCGUCUGCCUUGAUGGCUCUGCCUUCCUGGGACUGAAGCAGGGACGGUUUGUUGUUGCUGCUUUUUGGCUG
rnacentral:lncRNA from 1 species